GCGCCGCGCCUGCAGUCCGGGUCGGAGAUCUUGAACUGGACUCUCCCGGCGCAGGACGCGGCCCGACCGUGUGCACUUUCCGCGGGCAGAGCGCCACGACCGGUUCCCGGGCGGUCAGAAGGCGGCGGGGAUGGUAGGCGCGCGCUUCGGCUGCGCGCUGGUAUAGCCCCGCCUGUCCCGAUCCGCUCUUGGGGACCGAGGAGCCGCCGCCGGCGUCAAGGCCGCCUCGCCCUCCCGGGAUGCUUCGACCGGCAGAGACUGGGCAACCGUGUCUGCCGACCGCUUCCUCGGGACGGUCCAGGGGUGGGCCCGCCGGCACAGGGUCGGUGGCGAAUCGGUCGGCCCUCCACCCGACCCGUCUUGAAACACGGACCAAGGAGUCUAACAUGCGCGCGAGUCGUUGGGUCGUACGAAACCCGAAGGCGAAGUGAAAGCGAGGGCCGGUCUCUGACCGUGCUCAGGUGGGAUCCCGCUCCCCUUUUACCAGCGGGGUGGGCGCACCACCGGCCCGUCUCGUCCGCGUCGUCGGUGAGGCGGAGCAUGAGCGCGCACGUUGGGACCCGAAAGAUGGUGAACUAUGCCUGAGUAGGACGAAGCCAGAGGAAACUCUGGUGGAGGUCCGCAGCGAUUCUGACGUGCAAAUCGAUCGUCAAACUUGGGUAUAGGGGCG
rnacentral:rRNA from 1 species